rnacentral:rRNA from 1 species
CCACGCUAAUUUUUACUUAAAUUAAAAAUUUAUAUACCGCCAUCUAAAAAACUAAUUUUAUGAUAAUAUUUUAAAAAAAAAAUAAAAAGUUAGGUCAAGGUGUAAUCAACAUUUAAGUAAAACAUGGGUUACUUUAAAAAUAAUUUAAGGAUCUUUAUAUAAAAAUAUUUUUUCAAAAAGGAUUUAAAAGUAAUAUUAAAAUAAUAUUUUAUUAUGAUUAAGAUAAUAAAUGUGU